GUCGCCCAAAUUCUAAAAUCCCCGCGCCCCUAACCCCAAUCUCUCAAAUCCCUCGGCAUCUUCUUCCUCCUCCUCUGCUCCCGCCAUCGCCUCCACGUUGGCCUCCUUCGACACCGUCGACGCGUUGACCUAGGGCUUGAAGGAGGUGAAGGUUGUCCUCGACCAAUUGCCGAGGGACGCCAACGACAUCCUCGACAUCCUCAAAGCCGAGCAAGCCCCACCGCCGCCUCCACGUUGGCCUCCUUCGACAGUGUCGACGCGUUGACGUAGGGCUUGAAGGAGGUGAGGGUUGUCCUCGACCAAUUGCCGAGGGACGCCAACGACAUCCUCUACAUCCUCAAAGCCGAGCAAGCUCCGCUUGAUCUCUGGCUCACAAUCGCUCAAAGACACUAGUUCACCGAAGCCUGCUAACGCUUUAAAGCCUCAACAAAGGCCUGAGAUAGUAAAUGAUGAAUUUGAGCAACAUCAGAACAAGCCUCGUAGG